CCCUUAGAUGUCCGGGGCUGCACGCGCGCUACACUGAAUGAAUCAGCGUGCUAGAAAACCUUGUUUGACAUGGCUAGGUAACCCAUUGAAAAUCAUUCGUGAUUGGGAUCGGGACUUGCAAAUGUGUCCCUUGAACGAGGAAUUCCCAGUAAGUGCGAGUCAUUAGCUCGCGUUGAUUACGUCCCUGCCCUUUGUACACACCGCCCGUCGCUACUACCGAUUGAAUGAUCCAGUGAGGGUAUUGGACUGGCGCCUCGAGUCUUCCUCGCGAAGACUCUCGACGGUCGACGGAAAGAUAUCCGAACUUGGUCAUUUAGAGGAAGUAAAAGUCGUAACA
rnacentral:rRNA from 1 species